AUGGACGUGUACAUUUCGGAGGAGUACGUGAUCCAGCGGCGCGCUGAGAAGAGGGCGGCGGCUCGGAGGGCGGCCACGGCCGACGCCGUCAAGGAGGAGGCGGGGAGGAGCCGGUGGACGGCGCCGUGGGCGGACUCUGAGCAGAAGGCCAAUGCAGACGCCCACGCCAACGCCAUCGCCAAUGCAGCUGGGUGGAGCUCGAGGGGCGGCGACGAGGGAAAGAAAAUUCCCUCUACAGAUGGAGCACAGCAUCACAGAUUUCAAAGCUUCAAAUUCACUGAGCAAUUCGGUGUCUCCCAUGGUGCCGGCUCAUAG
rnacentral:rRNA from 1 species